UACGUAGGGGGCUAGCGUUGUCCGGAAUCAUUGGGCGUAAAGCGCGUGUAGGCGGCCCGGUAAGUCCGCUGUGAAAGUCGGGGGCUCAACCCUCGGAUGCCGGUGGAUACUGGCGGUCUCGAGGGAGGUAGGGGCGUGCGGAACUUCCGGGUGGGAGCGGUGAAAUGCGUAGAUAUCGGAAGGAACACCGGUGGCGAAAGCGGCGCGCCUGGACCUCUUCUGACGCUGAGGCGCGAAAGCCAGGGGAGCGAACGGG
rnacentral:rRNA from 1 species